rnacentral:tRNA from 1 species
GGGGAUUUGGCUCAGUGGUAGAGUGCUUGCCUAGGAAGCGCAAGGCCCUGGGUUCAGUCCCCA